rnacentral:lncRNA from 1 species
AAGGUAAUGAAUAUUUCAUCUAUGUUAAAAUUAGAUAUGUGACGCUCUCAAAAUAGGUCCAUUCCACCCAACCCAUUCUGAGUCGCCAAAUACAUGGUACAGUAAUAACUACAACUUUAAUAAUACACAUGUCGUGUGAAAUACGACAAUACAUACUGUGAGUUUAAAUACAGAUAUUGCCGUCUAGACAAUAUCCACACGCAAAUAAAUCCCCAUCAUAAUUAUUGAUACAUUAUUUUACAAAAAUGGUGAGG